rnacentral:rRNA from 1 species
UACACUACGGCNAUGCACGGAAGUGUGACUGGGGGAUUCCGAGUGCUCAUGUAACGCAUGGGCUUUUGCCAAAGGUAAGUNCUUUGGCGAAUAAGUGGGGGGUAAUACUGGUGCCANCCGCCGCGGUAACACCAGCANCCACGAGUGGGGACCGCUAUUAUUGGGCCUAAAGCGUUCGUANCCGGCCGGGUAAAUCUCCUGUGAAAUCGCAGCGCUCAACGUUGCGGCGNGCANGAGANACUGCUCGGCUUGNGACCGGGAGGCGUAUGAGGUAUUCUGGGGGUAGCGGUAAAAUGCNAUAAUCCUCAGAGGACCACCUGUGGCGAAGGCGUNAUACGANAACGGAUCCGACGGUGAGGGACGAAAGCUAGGGGAGCGAACCGGAUUAUAUACCCGAGUAGUCCUAGCAGUAAACNCUGCGAGCUANGUGUCGCGCAUUCUACGGGAGUGCGCGGUGUCGUAGANAAGUCGUUAANCUCGCCGCCUGGGAAGUACGGUCGCAAGGCUGAAACUUAAANGAAUUG